GGCCCGGUGGUGGAUGCCCACGCCUACGUUAAGUUCUAAGGUUCAGAUACAGUAGGAGUACGUAGGAGAUCCCCGUUCGAUUCGGGGCCGGGCCA